rnacentral:rRNA from 1 species
GGCAGACGGGUGAGUAACAUGUAGGUAUCUUCCCUUUGGCCUGGAAUAACACGAGGAAACUUGUGCUAAUACUGGAUAAGUCUUUACGGAGAAAGCUUUAUGCACCAUUGGAUGAGCCUGCACUUGAUUAGUUUGUUGGUGGGGUAAUGGCCUACCAAGACUUUGAUCAAUAGCUGAUUUGAGAGGAUGAUCAGCCACAUUGGGACUGAGACACGGCCCAAACUCCUACGGGAGGCAGCAGUGGGGAAUCUUGCACAAUGGAGGAAACUCUGAUGCAGCGAUGCCGCGUGAGUGAAGAAGGCCUUUGGGUUGUAAAGCUCUUUCGUCGGGGAAGAAAAUGACUGUACCCGAAUAAGAAGGUCCGGCUAACUUCGUGCCAGCAGCCGCGGUAAUACGAAGGGACCUAGCGUAGUUCGGAAUUACUGGGCUUAAAGAGUUCGUAGGUGGUUGAAAAAGUUGGUGGUGAAAUCCCAGAGCUUAACUCUGGAACUGCCAUCAAAACUUUUCAGCUAGAGUUUGAUAGAGGAAAGCAGAAUUUCUAGUGUAGAGGUGAAAUUCGUAGAUAUUAGAAAGAAUACCAAUUGCGAAGGCAGCUUCCUGGAUCAUUACUGACACUGAGGAACGAAAGCAUGGGUAGCGAAGAGGAUUAGAUGCCCUCGUAGUCCAUGCCGUAAACGAUGUGUGUUAGACGUUGGAAAUUUAUUUUCAGUGU